rnacentral:rRNA from 1 species
UACGUAGGGCGCAAGCGUUGUCCGGAAUUAUUGGGCGUAAAGAGCUCGUAGGCGGCUUGUCGCGUCGACUGUGAAAACCCGCAGCUCAACUGUGGGCUUGCAGCCGAUACGGGCAGGCUAGAGUUCGGUAGGGGAGACUGGAAUUCCUGGUGUAGCGGUGAAAUGCGCAGAUAUCAGGAGGAACACCGAUGGCGAAGGCAGGUCUCUGGGCCACUACUGACGCUGAGAAGCGAAAGCAUGGGGAGCGAACAGG